GUCUACGCCAUGUCCCCCUGAACACGCCCGAUCUCAUGUGAUCUCUGAAGCUAAGCAGGGUCGGGCCUGGUUAGUACUUGGUUGGGAGACCACCUAGGAAAACCAGGUGUUGUAGGCA
rnacentral:rRNA from 1 species